AGAAGCAUUCACACAGGUGCUCCACUCAGCCGGGGCGGAACCAAUCUGCGGCUGCAGGUUUGCUACCUGCAGCAUAAAAAGGGACACACGCAGCACUGAGGAGGAACGGAGAAUGAAUGAGCUCCUCAAACAAAGUGGCUGUGAGCGUGAUGAUCUGCGGCAAACUGUGCAGGACUGCUUCAUCUACAGAAAUCCAGGUAGCAGCCGAAGCAGUGAGAGGGCUGAGGUGGGGCCACAUGGAGACGGCAUGUGUUGUUGUUCAAGGAGCCAAAAUAAAAAGCUGGAAUGAAGAGUCAAGUCAACACGUCGAGCAGCCGGAUGCGUUUCUCUGCCGAGGUGACGUCGCUUCCACUGAGGAGGUGACAUCUAUGCUGAAACCCAGCUAUGAAAAUAUGGAGGUGAACUGGAAUUAUACAAGCCGGUGGCACAUAAACAUCAUGGGGAGUAUGAAGUCAGAAGUGUCACAUUCCUUCCUGAUGGUGGAGGGCAUGUGAAUGGAUGUGAGCAGACAGAAGGAAAAUGAGAAGUGUUAAAAGAAAAAGAAAAAAAUAGCAAGAAGGGGAAAAAAGAAGAAGAAGAAGAAAAGCGAAGAAAAUUGCAAGAAAAAAGAGGAAAAACAGAGUUAUGAGAGCGAAGUUCACGGACGCAGAGCAGCUUCUGGCAUGGCUCAUCCUUCCCAUCAUACACAUUCCUGUCUGACACGCUCACAAAGCCCCAUUGUACUGAACUGAAUCUGACUCAUAUCCUCACCGCCAUCAACCUUAUAAGCUACCACCACAUGCACACAAACACACACGUUUGGCCUUGAGCCACCUCCAUUGUGCAGAGUUAUGGGCUGACAGUUUUAAUACGGCCUGUAAAUGAUUCCCUACUGUACGGAGAGAAGGUGUGAACUUCAAAAGAUAAGGAGGAGGAGGAGGAUGGAGGAAAGAUGAUACGGUGCUGCUAUAAUGUCAUGUGACCUGUGGAUGAAGGGGUCACAACAUGCAACCAACUCUUUCUCCCCCUCACCUGUCUUCAUUCCUGACAGCUCUUUGGUGCUCAGAAGUCUGCAGAAGAUCAGAGGCUUCGGUGGCAGCGGUAGAAGGAGCACUUUGAUGUUUACUUUUACUUAGUAAGCAUGUAUGAGCCGCUUAUGUACCCAGUAGAGGCCAAUUAUAAAACAAAUGAAGGACAGCAAAGCUAGAAAUAAAGGUCAACAAAAAUUACAGUAACAAAGGAAAGAAAAGGACAAAAGCACAGCUCAAUGUCAGUGUAACUGUUAGACAAUGAACAAAAAGAUCUUAUAAAACAACAUAGUUAAUCCUAAAAUCAUUGUGGGCUUUUAGACAAUGCUGUAAAGCCUUGAUUAUGUCUCUUAUGGAUGCACACACAAACACCACAGAGGCGAAAUUGUUGCCAUUAAGGCCAACUCAUGGUUUCUGCAAGACUAUGAAAGCAGCCAGUGGAUGGUUGAGUCAUGCUACUAUAUGUAGGCGUUGCUCUGUUGUGCCGAUGGUCUUUUCAAUCUCCUCUUAAGAUGUACGUUUAUCAGAGGGCAUUUCCUGAUUUUAUGAGUUUUUUUGUUUUAUUGUUGUAUUAAUGUUUCAGCUUCUUUAAUAUUGUGUUGGUUUUAUACACCAUGUUGUGCUUGUAUUCUGAUGAUUUGUUUUAUUUUACUUCCAUUGGAAGCACUUUGCAUUCUGGAUUUGGAAAGUGCUGUUUAGAUAAAGAUUACUGUCAUUAUUAUUAAUAUUAUUAUUUUUGCCUCGCAUAUCAGAGAGAACAACGCGUGGGGCUCCUGUGGAUGUUUCUGAAAGGCUGGCUGUGACUGUGUUCUUUCUACCACGUCAAUGUGAUUAUUCCUGAGGUGUCUUAAGCACAGUGAGUGGACAUAGCACAGGGUUUCUGGAGAAUUUAGAACUUCCAGCUGUGUUUAAGCAUCAGUACUAGAAAGCAUGGACACAUCAAAGCCCCUCAAAAUUUGAUAGCAACUACUUCAAAUAGAAUUCUGUUAAGGAUGAAUUUUCAAGGAGGGAAUGUUGGAGAAUCCCCUCAUGCAGUCUGUCCUCAAAACAAGCAUCUGUUAUACUUAGCAUGAGUUGUCCUGGUGCAUGAGCAGUUUGUGAGCUUGCAGUGCAGACAGUCAGUGCUGUCAUAAAUUCUAAGCUGCAAAGACACAAAACUUGGAUGACAAAAUUUGGACAGCAUACCUUCGCUAACCCUUGUAAAGUAUGGAAAGCAUGAAUUAUCAUUUCCUGUUUUGUCUGCUGCUUAGAGUCCACAGAAAGGACUUGUUUGCUUUUGUGUGCAGCAGGUUUACUGGAAAGCAUUGCCCAUUUUCACCCAUGUAGCACAGUCACCAUGCUGACACUAACUUUGGGCUGUUUGCUGAGAGCGCCAUGUUGAUUCUUGCAGACAUUUUAUAGACAUUUUACAACACCUGAAAGUAUAAUGGUGCCCUUAAUAUACUCCUUACAUAGGCCACUGUACUUGGCUUGGAGGACUCCGUUCUAUAUAUGCACGGUAGCACAUAUCUGUGUAAUCCACUGCUGCUCUUGUAGCAUUGUUGCUGCCUGAACUGCCAAAAAGUUGCAGAGGGGUCCACACAGACUCUUGCAGACCUGGGGAGUUCUUGAAACUUAUAUUAGUUUGACAUUAUUACAACGUUUCAUUUCCCAUGUUUCUUCUUUAAAUAUACACAGAUCAGGCAAAACACUAUGACCACCUGCCGAAUAUUGCGUUGGUUCCCCUUUUGCUACCAAAACAACCCGUUAAGGCAUGGACUCCACUAGACCCCUGAGGGUGUGCUGUGGUAUCUGCCACCACGAUGUUAGCAGCAGAUCCUUUAAGUCCUGAAAGGUGCGAGGUGGGGCCACCAUGGAUCGGACUUGUUUGUCCAGCACAUCCCACAAAGCUUCACUGGAUUGAAAUCUGGGGAAUUAGGAGGCCAACUCAACACUUUAAACUUGUUGAUGUGCUCUUCAAACCAUUCCUGAACCAUUUUUGCUUUGUGGCAUGGAACAUUAUCCUGCUGAAAGAGGCCACAGCCAUCAGGGAAUACUGUUUCCAUGAAAGGGUGUACAUGGCCUGUAACAAUGCUUAGGUAGGUGGCACAUGUCAAAGUAACAUCCACACGGAUGGCAGGACCCAAGGUUUCCCAGUAGAACAUUGCCCGGAGAAUCACACUGCCUCUGUCGGCUUACCUGUGUUCCCCAGGUAAGCGACACACAUACACCCGGUUAUUUACAUGAAAACAUGAUUCUUCAGACCAGGACACUUUCUUCCAUUGCACCGUGGUCCAAUUCUGAUGCUCACAUUGUUGGCACUUUCAGCGGUGCACAGAGGUCUGCGGCGAUGUAGCCCCAUACGCAACAAACUGUGAUGCACUGUGUAUUCUGACACCUUUCUAUCAGAACCAGCAUUAAUUUCUUCAUCCAUUUGAGCAACACUAGCUUGUCUGUUGGAUCAAGCAAAAGACCCAGCCUUUGCUCCCUACAUGCAUCAGUGAGUCUUGGCUGCCCAUGACCCUGUCGCUGGUUCAUCACUGUUCCUUCCUUGGACCACUUAGAUCCUGACCCCUGCAGACCAGGAACAUCCCACAAGAGCUGCAGUUUUGGAGAUGAUCUGACCCUGUCGUCUAGUCAUUACAAUUUGGCCCUUGUCAAACUCGCUUAAAUCCUUAUGCUUGCCCAUUAUUCCUGCUUCUAACACAUCAACUUUGGGGACAAAAUGUUCACUUGUUGUCUAGUAUAUCUAAUCCACUAACAGGUGCCGUGACAAAGAGAUAAACAGGGAUACUCAUAAUGUUAUGCCUGAUUGGUGUAAAUCCAACUAGUGAGCCACAACAAAAUUUUACAUGUCAACUGUUGAGAUUUACAUCACUUAGACGACCUUAGAAGACUCUUGUUUGGACCUCGGGUACUAUUACACUGGCCUGAGGCUAGUUAUAUGGCUCAAACAGCCAAUAGUAGUCAGCCAGCAGUUAUAAUUUUUUAAUUUCUUAUUGCAAACCAAGCAGGGAGACCUCAAGCACAGUCAAAAAAGGUAACAACAAAUGCUGCUUUCUGAUGUUUUACCAUGUUUCAUUCAAAUUUAUUCAGCUGUGAACUAUCCUGAGUGAACAGUCAAACAAACCAGAAUGUGGAUUCCAUUACAUAGACGACUUAAAUAUGAGAUGCCACAUUUCUGCGUUGCUACAUCAAAUGGAAUCGCAGAUGCCUUGAGUAUCACUUUCUAUGAUGUUCAUUAAAUUUAAGCCUGAUAUAUCCAGUAUCUUCGAACACGUUAUGAUCUCCAAAGCAAUUUCAAUCCUGAACUUGAACAAAGUUUUUCACACGGAACGAAAGAAAAGAGAAAAACAGUGGAGCUAAAUAACUUUGUUGUUUUUCCCAGUACUUGCAUCAUCAUGUCCACGGCAAGUUUUCCUCACGGACAUCAUGUCAACCGAGGUUCAAAGCGAACAACGGUGUUUUCUGGCAGUUAGUUUCUCCUCAUCACAUUAACACUUAAAUAGACACGGUGAACGUUUGCCCCACAGUUACGGUGAAAAGAGCGGGCAGGUUUUUUUUUUCUCUCUUUUUUUUUUUGGGAAGCACUGCACCCGGAGAGUCCAACGUCCCCGGGGCAGAGGUGUGUGUCCGCUAAAGGGGACAAGAGAGAAAAAUCCCCAAAUUCCCUGUGUGAAUGGCACGGAGUAAUUAAUCUCCAGCAGGGGUUUGCCCUCCUCCCUGACAUGUGAGUGACACACUGUGCAUGAGUGUGUGUUUGUGUGUGAGACAGAGGUGUUUGAUUGCCUCUCCCCCGGGCCUGCUCCAUCAUGUCUGCUUCUGCUUUUGAUGUUUCCCCCCUUUUCUUUUCUCUUUCCUCUUCUUCUUCAUCUCUUCUCUCCGCUGCCUGCUGCGCUCAGUGCACCUAUUAUUCUUCUUUGGUCUUCUCCACUGUAAAAAUGGAUGUGUGAAUGUGUGCAUGACGAGUCGGAGCUGACAGUAAGCUGAUAUGUGUAGUCGAGGUACAGUGCAUUGCUCAAGGGCCUGUAUGAGUUUUUUUUUUUUUGUUUUAACUAUUUUCUUUUGAGGUGAACUAUUCCUUCAAGCCAUUGGAGUUUAAAGCUGCUACAAAUACAUAUUUUAAUAUUUACAUUACAUCAGUGGCCUGUGCAUAAUGUGAGAGGUCGCUCAUUGCCCGCAGAGAAUUAUAAUCUGGCUCUGCAGUCGCCUACAGGUCUGCAGUGCUUUCGGUUUCAUGGUCAACAACUUAUUGUUUAAUUUCAGUCUCCCUACUCUCAACAGUGGCAUUUCCAGCAGCAGCACUCAGCUGCUUUAAGUAAGAAAAAACUUGACUAAAGCCAUCGUACAGGACUUUUCCUGUAGCAAACAGCAGACACAGUUAAAACCAGCAGUGGAGCCAAACACUUUUCUCAAAAUCAGAGCUAAAAGAAGGUUUUUUUAGGUUUAUAUUCACCAAUGUUGUAUUUAUAGGCCACAAGUCACCCCAAAAAUCAGUUCCUGCAGGUGAAAUAAUUCAGUUUAUGAAGGUUAAUACAUUACAGAUGAUUGAGGUUUUGUAACAGGACUGGUUUGUAAAUUGGUGAACCGGGUCAAAGAAAUUUAAAUUCAGCUGACAGUUUGCUUUUCCAUCCAGUGCAGAUGCAUGAUGACACAACAUCAGUAUUGACAAUAUUCAGUGCAGGCUUAAGUGAAAACACACCAGUCUUUUCUUUGUGUAAAUACAAACUCCAGAGAAACAAAGCCACUACAGAGCAGUUAGUGUGAACUGACGGGGGAUCCAGGUGUGCCACCCAGGGCCAGGCUGGGAGAUAAUCCAGGUCAGAAAUCUGACUUCAAUUCAGGUCAGUCUGUCUCCACGCAGUCACCAUUUUGUCGAUUUCAAUUGCAGUGUAAGCCAGAAAACCUGCUUUUAAGAAAAUUCUGCAUUAAGGGAGAAAUUCCAAUUAUUGUCAACUGCAGUUAAGGUUACAGGAGAAAAUAUUCAUACAUACAGUCAUGAACAAAAGUUUCCACACACUUGUAAAGACCAUAUGUAUCAUGGCAGUCUUGAGUUUCCAACGACUAUAACUCUGAAUUCUCAUUGAUAGCGUCAUUGAAACACGUCUCUUUGUCACACACAAAAAUUAAUCAUGUAUUUUGCUUCUUUUAUAGAUUUUUUAAAGGUCCUCUGCAAAUACGACACUUCAUUCUUAGAAUCAAUGGUUUGCAGAGGAUUUUGAGAUCUGCAGCUGCUUUAAAGUGACUUUCUUGACUUGGUCGAGACUUGCUUCAUCAGAUCUUUGCUGAGAUCCUCAGACUUCCCCUGUAGUGUUUGUCGUUGGGUCUAAUGAGUGAAUCAAGUGGACUCUCAUUAAAUUGGCUCAGAGGAGUCAUCAGCUGUAGUCAAUCAUAAUUACUCAUUAGAAGUUAAGAGGACAGGUCACUAAGAAAAUUUGAUUAACACAACUUUGUACAUCACCAAAACUGACAAUUUAAGUUUUCUAUAGAUAUACUUUAGACCCAGCAAAUGUCACAUCUCCUGAAGACCUCUAAUAAAUCUAUGAAAGUACUAAAAUAGAGGGAAAAAAAUCAAGAGUUAUAGUGAACUUGGAAGAUCAAGGUUGCCAUGAUAUUCAUGGUCUUUGCAUAUGUGUGGAAUCUUUUGUUCACAACUGUUUUAUAUAUACAUACACACACACACACACACACACACACACACACACACACACUGUAUAUUGUUGUUUACACCUGACAGAAAUUAAUGUGCAGGUAUUUAUUUUCCAUAUUAUUUCCAUGCAUAUACACCUCGGGCUUUCCUAAAUAAUAUUUUGCAGCUUAUUGGUGUUUUAAAACACAGAAUAAACUAGCUACCAGUAGUUGUAAUAUUAUAACUUGCUGGGAAGAGUCUCUGGAAUGUGUAUGAACUGUAUAAGCAAUGUCUAUUUUUCAAAACCUGCCAAGUGAAGUCUUUUCUGCAUGAAACUACCUAAAAUCGACUUUUCUUUCUUCUUCUUUUUUUUUUCAUCUGAGAUCGAAUCAAGACUGAUUCCAGCUCUAAUGCAUUACCUGGAGUUUGAAUGAACGUCCCGGGAAAACAAGCGGUUUUUCAAACACAAGUCACACGUGUCUGCAUUUAUCACCUCUAAAUGCUGCAACAUUUUAUUUCCCAUAAUUGUGCUUCUUUAAAUAAAAAAAAAAUCCAACUGGUGAGCAAACCAGCGACAGUCUACUGGCCGUAAACUGAGAAGCAGCUAUUGGCGAGCAACACUAAGUGUGUGUUAGAGCUGCAGCCGAGGGAAGGGAGGAAAGCCUGCCACAUUAAUGACAACCACACUUAUGUAAAGCUCCACACAGUAUUUAUAGAGUCAGCUGGGCUUCAGAAGGCCACAGUCGGAAAGUCCACAAACCACCAGUCAUGACACACAGACGCACAACAAGAUGCUCACACAUCCGCUCAGUGGCUGUAUAGUUUAAAUCAUGUGAAAUACACAACUAGAGAGAUUCUUCUGUUGUUUGGUUGGUUUCCACGCACAGAACAGUGAUAAAUGUGUCUGCACCGAGACAGGAGGAGGAUUGGGUGGAAAAAUUUAGACUUAAGGUCAAUGCAGGUGAACAGGUGAAGACAUCUCUUUUUUUAUCUGAACUCCUUAGAAUUAAUGAUGAAUCUGAGACACAGUUUAAGCUCGUUUGUACAAAAUGGACUAAAAAUAAAGAUGGCAAAGUGACGCUUAAUAAAAUGAAAUCCAGACUGAAACCA